CUCCAACGUUGCUAUAUUAAAUGAUUAAUUAAAAUAUUUUACUUAUUUUAUUUCUCUCAUUUUCCCCCUUUAGCCAUUGCUAUUUCUCGAGAUCACAAGCCGGAGCAAACGGACGAGAGGCAAAGGAUUGAAAAUGCUGGUGGCUUGUUAUGUGGGCUGGAACCUGGAGAGUUGGUGGCGUUCUUGCCGUUUCUCGUGCUUUCGGUGAUAGACUUCUGAAACAGUAUGUUGUUGCUGAUCCAGAAAUCUAGGAAGAAAAAGUUGAUAGCUCUCUCUACCAGUUUUUUAUUUUUUUC